UUUUUGUUUAAUUAAACAAAUGGAACAAUUGUCACAAAAGUAUUUUGCUAGAGACUUCUAACAGACAACUAUCUGCUAACUUAACAAAUAGGUUCUUACAUUUACUAGCACUGUUGGGUUGCGUUUCAUAUUACAGCUCAUUUUGGUAGAUCUUUGUUCUAGAUCCUUUUGAGGUCUGUGUUACUGUCAAGAGCCAAGAGCUCUGACAGCUGUUGCCAGCUCUGGGUGGUUUGUUUAAAACAAUAAGGGAGUCGCUUAGCAACAUCACAUCACAUAUUUGGUACCCUACAGUAUCUCACAUUCCUAACUACUCUGCACAUCCUCAUGACUUAAAGGGCCACUGUCAAGUUAAUAACCAUACCCAAACGUGUACUUACAUCUCUGUCUCCCCGUAAUGAGAUAUAUGAGAGGGAGGAAGGAGGAAAUCCAAAUUCUACUAUCAACCCAAAGAACUGGAUGUUGCAGAGUAUCUAAGGCACUUAUAUGAAUUCAUCCCAAGUGAACUGCCACCAUCUGAAGACAGUGCAGCUCCAGAGAAUAUCCUUGAGGAAAAAGGGCACACUUAUUCCAGUGCUUGUUCCCGUUUGACAAAAAAUCAACAUUUUAAAGACAAGAAAAUUAAAAUGAUUCUUUGCAGAGUUCAGAUAAACACCCUUGGCUUUAAUUUAUAAAUUGUUCAACAUUUAUCUUCAGUGAGUUCUUGCUAUUGAAACAAUUAUUAAGUAACACAAUAUUACUUGAAGUAUAAUUCUGAUUUUUAGAAUCAGUUGGAAAAUCUGGAGGUAUCUUUUCACCAGUGUUUUCCAGUUCAACAUUUCAGCAGAAUCCUGCUUUGAUUUUUUUUUUUUUUUUUUUCAAGCUUGCUUGCUGGGCUUCUGGGCUUCUCAGCAGUUGCAUUGCUACAGUCUGUAGCUCCAUGUGUCAAAGAUUGUCACAGGGUUGGCCUUCCAGUAUGCUGUGUUGCACGAGUACCUGGACCUGCAAUGCUCUUUGAUGAAAUCUGGUUACCAUUUUCUUAAAAUAUUCAGGCACAAUUAUGACUAGCUGACAACAUUACAAGUCUUUGCUUUGUGCACAGCUGAUUAGUGGAAUUUCCUAGCCAAGAAAACUCAAAUUGUUCAACUCCAGAAAACAGAAUUCCAUAUUCUGGUACAAGUGGAUUAGUAUUAGUAAUUAGAGUCUUAUAAAAACUGGGAAUUUUUCUUUGUCUCCAGCAUAAAAUACAUUAUUCAUAUUGACAGUAUCUAGCUCAUUAUUACGGUACAAAACUCUUGUAACACUUGAGCCCCAAAAUCUACUGAUAAGGAGCACACUAUCACAAAUACAUUGAAAUGUAUCCACUGCUCAAAUCAGUCUUUAACAUGAUAAAAAUAACACAGCUAUAUCUGUAAAGGCUGUGUUACGGUUUCUGCUGCAUUAAAGGACUAUUCACUGCAUUUUUGCUUGUUCUGCAAGAAUUUGGAUAAUUCAUACCACUAAUUCAGUGUACUGCAGAGACAUCUGGUCAACUGACAGUCUGUCUAGGCAUACACAGAUAAAUUUGGAGAGGUAGAAAUACAAUUUUAACACACUACUUUGUCUUGCUUUAUAGAAACAUUUUUUGGAAAGAGUCAUUAAAAUGUUGCAGGCAAUAGAUAUGGAAAUAUUACAUUUGUCAUAUGACAAAUAUAA
rnacentral:lncRNA from 1 species